rnacentral:misc_RNA from 1 species
GAUGAAGAACGCAGCGAAAUGCGAUAAGUAAUGUGAAUUGCAGAAUUCAGUGAAUCAUCGAAUCUUUGAACGCACCUUGCGCCCUUUGGUAUUCCGAAGGGCAUGCCUGUUUGAGUGUCAUGAAACCUCACCCCACUUGGGUUUUUGCCUGAGCGGUGGUGUAUUGGGUGUUGCCUUGCUAAGGCUCGCCUUAAAGACAUAAGCACCUUGGAUGUAAUACGUUUCAUCCUUCUGGGUGGCUGAUAACCCCACAUAUUCAUGAUCUGGCCUCAAAUCAGGUAGGGCUACCCGCUGAACUUAAGCAUAUCAAUAAGCGGAGGA